GAUGAACGCUAGCGGCAGGCCUAACACAUGCAAGUCGAGGGGUAGCAGGAUUAAGCUUGCUUAAUUGCUGACGACCGGCGCACGGGUGCGUAACGCGUAUGCAACCUACCUUAUACUGGGGUAUAGCCCGGAGAAAUUCGGAUUAAUCCCCCAUAGUACUAAUGAAUCGCAUGGUUUAUUAGUUAAAGCAUUGCGGUAUAAGAUGGGCAUGCGUCCUAUUAGCUAGAUGGUGAGGUAACGGCUCACCAUGGCUACGAUAGGUAGGGGGCCUGAGAGGGUGGUCCCCCAAACUGGUACGGAGACACGGACCAUACUCCUACGGGAGGCAGCAGGGAGGAAUAUUGGUCAAUGGGCGCAAGCCUGAACCAGCCAUGCCGCGUGCAGGAAGAAUGCCCUAUGGGUUGUAAACUGCUUUUAUUUGGGAAUAAACCUCUUUACGUGUAGAGAGCUGAAGGUACCAAAUGAAUAAGCACCGGCUAACUCCGUGCCAGCAGCCGCCGUAA
rnacentral:rRNA from 1 species